rnacentral:rRNA from 1 species
GAGGAAUAUUGGACAAUGGGCGAAAGCCUGAUCCAGCCAUGCCGCGUGAGUGAUGAAGGCCUUAGGGUUGUAAAGCUCUUUCGCCAGGGACGAUAAUGACGGUACCUGGGUAAGAAGCCCCGGCUAACUUCGUGCCAGCAGCCGCGGUAAUACGAAGGGGGCUAGCGUUGUUCGGAAUCACUGGGCGUAAAGCGCAUGCAGGCGGAUCGUUAAGUCGGGGGUGAAAGCCCGAGGCUCAACCUCGGAACUGCCUUCGAUACUGGCGAUCUUGAGUCCGGGAGAGGUGAGUGGAACUCCGAGUGUAGAGGUGAAAUUCGUAGAUAUUCGGAAGAACACCAGUGGCGAGGGCGGCUCACUGGCCCGGUACUGACGCUGAGAUG